ACGAACGCUGGCGGCGUGCUUAACACAUGCAAGUCGAGCGGUAAGGCCCUUUCGGGGGUACACGAGCGGCGAACGGGUGAGUAACACGUGGGUGACCUGCCCUCAGCUCUGGGAUAAGCCUGGGAAACCGGGGUCUAAUACCGGAUAUGACUCCAUGACGCAUGUUGUGGGGUGGAAAGCCUUGUGCGGCUGAGGAUGGGCCCGCGGCCUAUCAGCUUGUUGGUGGGGUGAUGGCCACCAAGGCGACGACGGGUAGCCGGCCUGAGAGGGCGACCGGCCACACUGGGACUGAGACGCGGCCCAGACUCCUACGGGAGGCAGCAGUGGGGAAUCUUGCGCAAUGGGCGAAAGCCUGACGCAGCGACGCCGCGUGAGGGAUGACGGCCU
rnacentral:rRNA from 1 species